rnacentral:lncRNA from 1 species
AACCUUUUACUUCUGCUUCAGGAUUCAUGCUUCUUAUCUUGCAUGUUCAUGUCCUACCACUCACAACUUGUUGUUUACCCAUUGGACCCUAAUUCUUGGGAUCUCCAGUCUUUUAGGUUGGGUUACCAUUAUGAGCAAUUCAUAGGCAUUAGUCCUAUUUUUACAUUAGUAUUAUAGACUUUCUCUUUAGUCAGUCCUUUCGUCAAAGGAUCCGCUAAG